rnacentral:rRNA from 1 species
GUCCACGCCGUAACGAUGGAUACUAGGUGCUGCGGGUAUUGACCCUGCAGCGCCGACGCUAACGCAUUAAGUAUCCCGCCUGGGAAGUACGGCCGCAAGGCUAAACUCAAAGGAAUUGACGGGGCCCGCACAAGCGGUGGAGCAUGUGGUUCAAUUCGACGCAACGCGAAGAACCUUACCCGGACUUGACAUUGAAGGAACCCUGUAGAGAUACGGGGUGCUCUUCGGAGCCCUGAAAACAGGUGCUGCAUGGCUGUCGU